ensembl:lncRNA
ACAGUCUUCAGCAUCUGGUUUUCAUGAUGAUCAAUGACAGAAGCUGGAGGAAUUACAGUUUGUCUUCUACAUUCAGUCACAUCUUACUGUGUGCAAGCAGGCUGCUUUACUGGCUGUUCUUACCCACAAUCCUUUGCACAGCAGGCGGCUUCAGACUGAUACGUGGGGAAGUUGUUCCGCCCCAACAGGUUCAACCUGAUCAUCAAAGUGGAGUGAAGAAUAAAAACACUCUCAGCUCAGACUCUGUUGUCUUAGUGGAUGUUUUUAUUCAAUAUAAACUCUUCACUACAUUUGUUACAAAGGUUUCUGCUUCAUCACAUGUUCCCUACUAGUCUACAUGUAGAAGAAGACCAGGUGACAAAGAGGGGCGUGCACGGGUCCUCUGAACCAUCUGGUCCAACAACAGCAUCCAGUCUGUUGUCAUAGCAACUCUUUACAAGGUGGAAGGAUCGUUCCACAGAUGCUGGUUUUGUUCCUGAAAGACUCUUGUUGAGCCGUGAGGAGGAUUCUGUUCACGAGGACCUUUGACCCUGUUAACAGCUCAGACUGAGACUCAGUCAACCUCUCUGAGGACACACCCUCUCUGAUGAAGGACAACAAGCUCCAACAAGCUGCAACACUUCACUCCGUCUGAUGGAAGCUGAAGUGAAGCACGGAGCUCCUUUUCUACACGGACCUGCUGAGGACAGAAGAGAGCUGCUCACUGAGGAAGUUCAUGUCUACGAGCUCAGCAGAGAGAAGCUGCUGUUAGUCUGAAUGAUGACGCUGUGAUGAAGAAGAGGAGCUCAGUCUGAUCUGGGGUCUGUGAGGACUGUUACUGAUGAGGAGGGGAAGGUAGCAGACGGAGGGGCACUAGGACCCAGCAGGGACCACAGAGCUCACCUGGGCCUUUGUUCCUGAAACACACCUGAGAGACGCUCUGUUUGUCUCACCUGCUGUUUCAGUCCUUUAAGGCAAGGCAAGGCAAUUUUAUUUGUAUAGCACUUUUCAUACACAAGGCAGACUCAAAGUGCUUCACAUCAUAACAUUUCAUACAAUAAAGUGAAAUAAAAUGCAGGAAUUAAAGGAAUUAAAAACAGCAAAUAAAAUUAUAGAUUAAAAUCUUAUUUAAAUUGUUCAAUUAAAGGCAGAGGUAAAAAGUGCAAUGUAGGUCAAAUUUAUCAGAAGGCGAAGCUGAACAUAAAAGUUUUCAGUCUUGUUUUAAACGUGGUCAGAGU